UCUGGAAAAAAAAGUCAGGCAAGGACAGGCGGAAAAGUCCAGCUGGUGGCGAAGUCGCCGAAAAACGGCAGCCAAUUGCCGCAGUUCUUCUCCACCACAAAGCCCGAAAACGAUUCUGCUCCACCAACAAGUGCCAGCAACUUUGUCGCUAGUACGCGAACCGUGCAUUCCUUCCGACAACAUCACUCUCGGAACCACAGAUUUCGCUCGGCGGCAAAGCCAAAAGGAAAAAUCCGCCUCCACCCAAAGCGAACACGAGGUGAUCGCUGGGGAGGAUUUCUACCAGCCAAAGGGUCGUAAGAGUGAGACCACGAUUUUUCACUAUUCCCGUUGCUGAUCGGAACUUUUCAUCCGACAGGGCCCUUUUUUGUGAUACACAAUUCUUCGCAAAUCACCUCGCGAAUCUAUUUUUCAAAUGACUGGCUCCCGUAUCGACCUUUGUCGUACACUUCGCUUUCCCUUCCGGGAACAGUGGAUCAAAGCAGAACAUGGAGAAUCCGGGAACCACUUGCUGCAGAAUAGCCUGCUUGGCACAUAAUCAAGGUCGGAAAUACUACCAAAUUUUCGUCCACGCCGAGCCGCCCUCUAGAAGCUGUAAGGAGGAGCACCUCGUGGCCUUUCUUUUCGAGGAUCUGAGGCACAACAUUAUCGAUCUUGGGACAGCUGAUGACAGAGCGGUCCGUCCCUUCAUCGAGAACACACUGGGUCGACG